AAAAAGACAAACCUGAUUUCCGUGCCUAACUUUUAACCAUCUGUCUUAUUUAAAAAAAUUAUAAAAAAAUUAAAAAGACAAGUUACACAUAAAAUAUUAAUCAUGUUUUAUCAUCUAACAACAACGAAAAUACGAAUUAUAAAAAAAUUUCAUAUAAGACGGAUAAUCAAAAUUGGAUACGGAAACCCAGGAUUUGCCUUUUU
rfam:Oryza barthii chromosome 6, whole genome shotgun sequence.